GCCACCCUAGCUCAAUCGGUAGAGCAGCUCUUUCGUAAAGAGCAGGUUGUCGGUUCAAGUCCGACGGGUGGCUC
rnacentral:tRNA from 1 species